rnacentral:rRNA from 1 species
GAAACAGGUUAAUAUUCCUGUACUCGGUGUUACUGCGAAGGGGGGACGGAGAAGGCUAUGUUGGCCGGGCGACGGUUGUCCCGGUUUAAGCAUGUAGGCGGAUGUUCCAGGUAAAUCCGGAACGUUAUCAACGCUGAGGUGUGAUGACGAGGCACUACGGUGCUGAAGUGACAAAUGCCCUGCUUCCAGGAAAAGCCUCUAAGCAUCAGGUAACAUCAAAUCGUACCCCAAACCGACACAGGUGGUCAGGUAGAGA